AUUAUUAUAGCAUAAUUAUGCGUUAAAUUUAGAUUUUAAUUAUGAUUUACAUCUAAUAAUU
rnacentral:tRNA from 1 species